rnacentral:rRNA from 1 species
UCAGGACGAACGCUGGCGGCAUGCCUAACACAUGCAAGUCGAACGGAGUAAUGACUUCGGUUAUACUUAGUGGCGAACGGGUGAGUAACACGUGAAUAAUCUGCCCUGUACGAUGGGAUAACAGCUGGAAACGGCUGCUAAUACCGUAUAUGACCACGCCGAGGCAUCUCGGAGGGGUGAAAGCGCUUAAGCGGUACAGGAUGAGUUCGCGUCCAAUUAGCUAGUUGGUGAGGUAACGGCCCACCAAGGCGACGAUUGGUAGCCGACCUGAGAGGGUGAUCGGCCACACUGGAACUGAGACACGGUCCAGACUCCUACGGGAGGCAGCAGUGGGGAAUAUUGGGCAAUGGAGGAAACUCUUUAACCCCCAGCAAUGCCGCGUGAGUGAUGAAGGUCUUCGGAUUGUAAAGCUCUUUGAUUGGGGACGAAUAAAUGACGGUACCCAAGGAACAAGCCCCGGCUAACUAUGUGCCAGCCGCUGC